rnacentral:lncRNA from 10 species
AAGUGAAUAAUGAUGUAAUACAGCUUUCAAAAAAUUUUAUUCAAGGAAACAAGUAUACUUUCAACGUAAUUACAAUGCUUCCAAAAAUCUACUCCUUUUAAAGUUAAAUAGAAAUCAUUUACCUAAAAACUGCAGUUGUGGAUUAGUUUUUAUAUUCAAUGCUCUGAUUUAGUGUAAUGUCUGAAGUGUCGGGGCCUUAGUUAUUCUACUGUAAACUCUCUUGAUAUUUAUAUACAAUCUAUUUUGAAUUAAAUAUUUUUUAAUAUUUACUGCAUCUGCAAAAUUAUAUUUUAGCAUAAACUCUCUGUUGUUUUCUAAGCUGUAGUUUCUGGGGAAAAAAAAGUGUUUCUAAACUUAAUACAUUUGUAGGACUCAUCUCCAAUAUAAAUUCCCUGAUGUUGAACAAACUUGAGCAACUGCUUUAGGAUUUUCCUCCAGUACAAAAUGUGUGCAAUAAGAUCUGUGAUACUAGUAAAUGUACUAUGUAACUCCCUUUAUAUUUGUAAUGCUUGUCUUCACAAUAAAUACUCUUCUUCACUUUAAAGGCUUAUACUUGCUGAAAGUUUUGACAGUAAUUGCCAUUUUAAUGCUUUUAUUAAAAGGAAGAUUUUUAUGUUGAGUUAGAUGUGAGUAGGAAUUAAUAGGUUUUCCAUAUUCCUUCUAUUUGUACAAUUUUUCUCAAGGAUACUAGCUUUUCUGUGAGAUAAGGUGUAAGAACUGAUUAAAAGUUUUGCCACAUUCUUCACACUUGUAGGAGUUUUGCCAGUAUGAAUUAUCCAACCUACAAUCAAGAGUGGCAACCAUAUAAAGGCUUUGUCACAUUUUAUAUAUUUCUAGGGUUUCACACUAGUAUAAUUAUUGUUAUGUGUAGAGAAGUUGGAGGUGUUCGUAAAAGCAAUGUCACAUUUUUUAGCUUUGCGGAUUUCCUCUUCAACAUGAAUUAUUGCCAUGCCUCUUAAGAAUUGAGAACUUGUGGCUGGGCGUCGUGGCUCACGCCUGUAAUCCCAGCACUUUAGGAGGCCAAGGUGGGUGGAUCACCUGAGGUCAGGAGUUCGAGACCAGCCUGGCAAACAUGGCGAAGUCGCAUCUCUACUAAAAAUAAAAAAAUUAGCUGGGCAUGUUGGAGGACACCUGUAAUCCCAGCUACUCAGGAAGCUGAGGUAGGAGAAUGGCUUAAACCCAGGAGGCAGAGGUUGCAGUGAG